AUCUGGUGCUUCCACCGUACAACUAAGUGCUGCCAUAGCACCACUCGGUUCCUUACCCAUCAUAAUCCAGUUCCCCUUCAGCAGGACCCAAAUCUGCCCAUGAUGGACCUAGGCUAUAUCAAGAGGUAUAAAAGACUCAAUCCAUCCACUUUUCCAGAGACAUCCACUUUUGAAGAGACUAAAUACUGGUUAGCAGAGACAGAGAAGGCCUUCACAACCCUUGAAGUAGUUCCCGAACAAAAGGUUAUUCUUGCCACUUACAUGCUCGUAGGUGAGGCAGGGUGUUGGUAGUAACUAAAGCAAGCUACUCUACCCACUCCAACCACCUAGGAAUAGUUUCUGACAGCCUUUA
rnacentral:lncRNA from 1 species